rnacentral:rRNA from 1 species
UAGGGAAUCUUGCGCAAUGGGCGAAAGCCUGACGCAGCCAUGCCGCGUGAAUGAUGAAGGUCUUAGGAUUGUAAAAUUCUUUCACCGGGGAAGAUAAUGACGGUACCCGGAGAAGAAGCCCCGGCUAACUUCGUGCCAGCAGCCGCGGUAAUACGAAGGGGGCUAGCGUUGCUCGGAAUUACUGGGCGUAAAGGGCGCGUAGGCGGAUAUCUAAGUUGGGGGUGAAAGCCCGGGGCUCAACCUCGGAAUAGCCUUCAAUACUGGAUAUCUUGAGUUCGGGAGAGGUGAGUGGAAUGCCGAGUGUAGAGGUGAAAUUCGUAGAUAUUCGGCGGAACACCAGUGGCGAAGGCGACUCACUGGCCCGAUACUGACGCUGAGGCGCGAAAGCGUGGGGAGCAAACAGGAUUAGAUACCCUGGUAGUCCACGCCGUAAAACGAUGAGUGCUAGUUGUCGGCAUGCAUGCAUGUCGGUGACGCAGCUAACGCAUUAAGCACUCCGCCUGGGGAGUACGGUCGCAAGAUUAAAAACUCAAAUGAAUUGACGGGGGUCAUAGCUGUUUCCUG